rnacentral:rRNA from 1 species
UAUAAUUUAUAAUAUUCGUUUUUUUCCACUAAUUUUUUUGGAUAAGCUCGAAAAAGUUAAGAUUUUUAAUUAAAUUUGUUGUGUGGGUUUAUAAUUGAUCAAAAAGUUUUUUAUAAAAUAAUAAUCCUAUUUUUAUAAAUAAAUAUAAUUUAAACUAACUUCUUACAGGGAUAAAAGUUUUAAUUUUAUGCCUAUGCUAGAAUGAGUAUUAAACUGUUAUAGAGAUUUUCUCCGUAAAAUUAAUUAAUUAGAAGGAACUCGGCAAAUUUAGUUGUUCCGCCUGUUUAUCAAAAACAUGGCUCUUUGACUACACAAUAUAAAGAGUCGGGCCUGCCCAGUGAUUUUAACGGCCGCGGUACUCUGACCGUGCAAAGGUAGCAUAAUCAUUUGCCUUAUAAUUGAAGGCUAGUAUGAAUGGUUUAACGAGAACAACACUGUCUCCUUUUUAUUUUCAAGAAUUUAACCUUUAGGUGAAGAGGCCUAAAUUUUAUUGAAGGACAAGAAGACCCUGUCGAGCUUAAAAGACAUUGUAGAGUAUUUAGAUUUUUCUAUUUUUUUAGUUGGGGCGACUAAGGAACAAAAAAAGCUUCUUGUUAACGACAGUCAUGUUCAGAUCCGGCACGAUCAAAGAAAUUAGUUACCGCAGGGAUAACAGCAUAAUCUUUCUUGAGAGACCUAAUCGAAAGGAGGGGUUGUGACCUCGAUGUUGGACUAGAAUAUCCUAAAGAUGUAGAAGUCU